AACGGUCUAUACCUGCGGUACCUGCGGAAGGAUCAUUACAGAGUUGCAAAACUCCCAAACCAUUGUGAACGUUACCUUCUCGUUGCUUCGGCGGGCGGCCCGGGUCCUUCCCGGCGCCCCCCGGCCCCUCGCGGGCGCCCGCCGGAGGUAAACCAAACUCUUGAAUUGUAUGGCCUCUCUGAGUCUUCUGUACUGAAUAAGUCAAAACUUUUAACAAUGGAUCUCUAGAUCGGAAGAGCA
rnacentral:misc_RNA from 1 species